rnacentral:rRNA from 1 species
CUGGGCGUAAAGGACGCGUAGGCGGAUUAUCAAGUCUCUUGUGAAAUCUAACGGCUUAACCGUUAAACUGCUUGGGAAACUGAUAGUCUAGAGUAAGGGAGAGGCAGAUGGAAUUCUUGGUGUAGGGGUAAAAUCCGUAGAGAUCAAGAAGAAUACCCAUUGCGAAAGCGAUCUGCUGGAACUUAACUGACGCUAAUGCGUGAAAGCGUGGGGAGCAAACAGGAUUAGAUACCCUGGUAGUCCACGCCCUAAACGAUGUAUACUAGUUGUUGCUUCGCUAGUCGAGGCAGUAAUGCACCUAACGGAUUAAGUAUACCGCCUGGGGAGUACGGUCGCAAGAUUAAAACUCAAAGGAAUAGACGGGGACCCGCACAAGCGGUGGAGCAUGUGGUUUAAUUCGAAGAUACGCGAAGAACCUUACCCGGACUUGAUAUCUAACAAAUCAUCCAGAGAUGGAAGAGUGUCUGCUUGCAGAAAUGUUAAGACAGGUGCUGCACGGCUGUCGUCAGCUCGUGUCGUGAG